AUGAGAUUCACUUCUCUUGUUGUUUAUUCCCUUUUCAUAUUGUUUAUUCCCUUUUCAUAUUGUUUAUUCCCUUCUCUUGUUGUUUAUUCCCUUCUCUUGUUGUUUAUUCCCUUCUCUUGUUGUUUAUUCCCUUCUCUUGUUGUUUAUUCCCUUCUCUUGUUGUUUAUUCCCUUUUAUUAUUGUUUAUUCCCUUUUCUUGUUGUUUAUUCCCUUUUAUUAUUGUUUAUUCCCUUCUCUUGUUGUUUAUUCCCUUCUCUUGUUGUUUAUUCCCUUUUAUUAUUGUUUAUUCCCUUCUCUUGUUGGUUAUUCCCUUUUAUUAUUGUUUAUUCCCUUCUCUUGUUGUUUAUUCCCUUAUCUUGUUGUUUAUUCCCUUUUCAUAUUGUUUAUUCCCUUUUCAUAUUGUUUAUUCCCUUCUCUUGUUGUUUAUUCCCUUCUCUUGUUGUUUAUUCCCUUCUCUUGUUGUUUAUUCCCUUCUCUUGUUGUUUAUUCCCUUCUCUUGUUGUUUAUUCCCUUUUAUUAUUGUUUAUUCCCUUUUCUUGUUGUUUAUUCCCUUUUAUUAUUGUUUAUUCCCUUCUCUUGUUGUUUAUUCCCUUCUCUUGUUGUUUAUUCCCUUUUAUUAUUGUUUAUUCCCUUCUCUUGUUGGUUAUUCCCUUUUAUUAUUGUUUAUUCCCUUCUCUUGUUGUUUAUUCCCUUAUCUUGUUGUUNNNNNNNNNNAGGGUUAAGGUUAGCAGUUUGGUUAAGGUUAGGGUUAAGGUUAGCAGUGUGGUUAAGGUUAGGGUUAAGGUUGGCAGUGUGGUUAAGGUUAGGCAUAAGGUUAGCUGUGUGGUUAAGGUUAGGGUUAAGGUUGGCAGUAUGGUUAAGGUUAGGGUUAAGGUUAGCAGUGUGGUUAAGGUUAGGGUUAAGGUUAGCAGUAUGGUUAAGGUUAGGGUUAAGGUUAGCAGUGUGGUUAAGGUUAGGGUUAAGGUUAGCAGUAUGGUUAAGGUUAGGGUUAAGGUUAGCAGUGUGGUUAAGGUUAGGGUUAAGGUUAAGGUUAUUUUAACAGGAGGAAUUGUAGAAUUGGGCAGGGUUUAGCCAUGAUCAUGACUGUUGGUGUGUUAACUAGUGAUGAGUCUUACGACACAUGCUGCGGUUACUGUCUCUGAUGGCGUGGAGUGUAAUCCACCGAGACUCUGUGACACAAACAGUGACAAAACCUGGUCAGAUCAUUUCAAGUCAUCGGUCUCAAGUCAAAGUCGAGUCCCGAGUCUUGAGGCACCAAGUCCAAGUCAAGUAUCAAGUUAUUUUAUUUUCUAUCAAGUUGAGUCUAAAGUCAGCAAAUUUGUGACUCGAGUCCACAACUCUGGUGAUGAUCAUGGGACAGGGCCAGCUCUCUCUCUCUCUCUCUCUCUCUCUCUCUCUCUCUCUCUCUCUCUCUCUCUCUCUCUCUCUCUCGCUCUCUCUCUCUCUCUCUCUCUAGUUCAAGUACAAAAGGGAAAAUAAAUAAACAUUAAUAUGGGUUGUAUUUACAAUGGUGUUCGUUCUCCAGUGGUUGCCCUUUUCUUGUGACAACAGGUCACAAAUCUUGCUGUUGUGAUGGCACACUGUGCCUCUAAUAUGGUCAUACAUUUGGCAAGAGGUUAGGAAGUGCAGCUUAGUUUCCACCUCAUUUUGUGGGCA
rnacentral:lncRNA from 13 species